UACGUAGGGCGCAAUCGUUAUCCGGAAUUAUUGGGCGUAAAGAGCUCGUAGGCGGUUUGUCGCGUCUGCCGUGAAAGUCCGGGGCUCAACUCCGGAUCUGCGGUGGGUACGGGCAGACUAGAGUGAUGUAGGGGAGACUGGAAUUCCUGGUGUAGCGGUGGAAUGCGCAGAUAUCAGGAGGAACACCGAUGGCGAAGGCAGGUCACUGGGCCGCAACUGACGCUGAGGAGCGAAAGCAUGGGGAGCGAACAGG
rnacentral:rRNA from 1 species